rnacentral:lncRNA from 1 species
GUCCUGGGCUAGAACUUCGAUGUCCUAAAUGCCAUCCGGGGCUUUUCCACGACAUCGAGAUCUCUGCCUGAAGCUCAGCAAGGCUCGGCCAAGUCAUCGAACGUAAUGAGCCCCAGUGGCUCCGUUUGUGAAAGGAACCGUGCUUCCGGGUCUGCCUGCCUCCUGGGGGACGAGCAGAUGGAGGACCUGGGAGCACUCGUGACUGGCUGUGAAGGUGUGAGGCCAGGAGAUGGAGAAUGAGGGCAGUGGCCCAAAGUGCAAAUUUCAGCAGGACCCUCACCUCUGCCUGGCUCACACACAACCCCAGAGGCUACUCCAGUCCAAGGCUUGACCUUCAGACAGGCUGACUUUAAGUUGGGUGUCGGCAAACUUUUUCUGCAAAGGGCCAGACGGUAAAUAUUUCCGGAUUUGAGGGCCGUACCAUUUCUGUUGUGACUACACAACUCUGCCGUUAUAGGCGAAGCAGCCACAGACACAACAGAGAUCUCAAGACCCAGGAGUCGGGGUAGCAGCCUCUGAACCCUGAGAAAGGGAUCCUGUCAUGAAGCAGCCCCCGCGGAGCAGCCUGGGCCAGCAUUUUAGAGACGAACUCAGGACACCUGUUGACUCACCGGGCUGGAAGCUCCCCUGGGCAAGGGCUGGUCUCACCCCAGUGUCCCCGGCGCCCGGCACAGUGGCUGUGUCUCCUCCAUCAGACUUGGAGCUCCCUGAGGACUCUGUCUCCUCCAUCAGACUAUGGG